rnacentral:rRNA from 1 species
UACGGGGGGGGCAAGCGUUGUUCGGAAUUACUGGGCGUAAAGGCGUGUAGGCGGCCAACUAAGUCCGACGUGAAAUCCCCAGGCUUAACCUGGGAACUGCGUCGGAUACUGGAUGGCUUGAAUCCGGGAGAGGGAUGCAGAAUUCCAGGUGUAGCGGUGAAAUGCGUAGAUAUCUGGAGGAAUACCGGUGGCGAAGGCGGCAUCCUGGACCGGCAUUGACGCUGAAGCGCGAAAGCUAGGGGAGCAACGGG